GAAUUUCGGACAAUGGGGGCAACCCUGAUCCAGCCAUCCCGCGUGUGCGAUGAAGGCCUUCGGGUUGUAAAGCACUUUUGGCAGGGAAGAAAAGGCUCUGGCUAAUAACUGGAGCUGCUGACGGUACCUGCCGAAUCAGCACCGGCUAACCACGUGCCCGCAGACGCGGUAAUACGUAGGGUGCGAGCGUUAAGCGGAAUUACUGGGCGUAAAGCGUGCGCAGGCGGUUCGGCAAGAAGGAUGUGAAAUCCCAGGGCUUAACCUUGGAACUGCAUUCUUAACUGCCGGGCUAGAGUAUGUCAGAGGGGGGUAGAAUUCCGCGUGUAGCAGUGAAAUGCGUAGAGAUGCGGAGGAAUACCGAUGGCGAAGGCAGCCCCCUGGGAUAAUACUGACGCUCAUGCACGAAAGCGUGGGGAGCAAAC
rnacentral:rRNA from 1 species